GACGAACGUUGGCGGCGUGCUUAAUACAUGCAAGUCAACUGAAGCAGUGGUAGCAAUAUCGCUGUGGAGGUGGCGCACGGGUGAGUAACACGUAGGUAAUCUGCCUUCAGGUCUGGCAUAACUCCGGGAAACCGGGGCUAAUAGCAGAUGAUGCAGCGGCUCGACAUCGAGACAGUUGUUAAAGCUAUGGCGCCUGAAGAUGAGCCUGCGUCUGAUUAGCUAGUUGGCGGGGUAACGGCCCACCAAGGCAACGAUCAGUAGCUGGUCUGAGAGGAUGAUCAGCCACACUGGAACUGAGACACGGUCCAGACUCCUACGGGAGGCAGCAGUAAGGAAUAUUGCUCAAUGGGAGAAAUCCUGAAGCAGCAACGCCGCGUGAGGGACGAAGGGCUUCUGCUUGUAAACCUCUGUAGUGAGAGAAAAAAAUCCCAAUCUUUGGGACAUGAUGGUAUCUCAAAAGUAAGCCCCGGCUAACUACGU
rnacentral:rRNA from 1 species